AGAGUUUGAUCAUGGCUCAGGACGAACGCUGGCGGCGUGCUUAAUACAUGCAAGUCGAGCGGACCUUUGCCGUUUGUUGCCGGUUUCCGGCGACAAAUGGCAACGGUUAGCGGCGAACGGGUGAGUAACGCGUGGGUAAUCUGCCCCCAAGACCGGGAUAACAGGGCGAAAGCGCUGCUAAUACCGGAUGACCUCUCUUUAUCGCAUGGUGAAGGGAGCAAAGCUACGGCGCUUGGGGAUGAGCCCGCGUUCCAUUAGCUAGUUGGUGAGGUAACAGCUCACCAAGGCGACGAUGGAUAGCCGGCCUGAGAGGGUGACCGGCCACACUGGGACUGAGACACGGCCCAGACUCCUACGGGAGGCAGCAGUAGGGAAUUUUCGGCAAUGGGGGAAACCCUGACCGAGCAACGCCGCGUGAGGGAUGAAGGCCUUCGGGUCGUAAACCUCUGUCUUUGGGGACGAUAAUGACGGUACCCGAGGAGGAAGCCCCGGCUAACUACGUGCCAGCAGCCGCGGUAAU
rnacentral:rRNA from 1 species